GAUGAGCGCUGGCGGCGUGCCUAAUACAUGCAAGUCGAGCGAACAGAUGAGGAGCUUGCUCCUCUGACGUUAGCGGCGGACGGGUGAGUAACACGUGGAUAACCUACCUAUAAGACUGGGAUAACUACGGGAAACCGGAGCUAAUACCGGAUAAUAUAUUGAACCGCAUGGUUCAAUAGUGAAAGACGGUUUUGCUGUCACUUAUAGAUGGAUCCGCGCCGCAUUAGCUAGUUGGUAAGGUAACGGCUUACCAAGGCAACGAUGCGUAGCCGACCUGAGAGGGUGAUCGGCCACACUGGAACUGAGACACGGUCCAGACUCCUACGGGAGGCAGCAGUAGGGAAUCUUCCGCAAUGGGCGAAAGCCUGACGGAGCAACGCCGCGUGAGUGAUGAAGGUCUUCGGAUCGUAAAACUCUGUUAUUAGGGAAGAACAAAUGUGUAAGUAACUAUGCACGUCUUGACGGUACCUAAUCAGAAAGCCACGGCUAACUACGUG
rnacentral:rRNA from 1 species